CCUACGUUGCAGCUCAAAAUUUGAAGGAGAAAGAUCUCCAUUGCAUCAUUGAUUCUGUGAAGCUUCUCGUAUCUAUUUUUCUUUUGCUUUCUGUUUCUUUUUCAGUCUCGUCUUUGCCGUAACGUUAUAUAUAGCUUCUUCUUUUUUUGUUUUCUAAACUCUCAAUUUGAUGCAUCAUUGCUGAUCAGUUUCUAUGCCUAUGAUAACCUGUACAUUGUUUGGUUUAGUAGAGGAAGAAAGCCAAAGGUUGUUAGCAUGGGAUAGACCACACAACUUCGUUAUUGGUCUAUCUGUUGGCAACGGAGAAUUUUGGGAUGAAACUUGAAUUUGUUGGAAUUCCGAUCUAAUGUGCUUCUUGCGUUCCUGAAAACCUCCAUCUUCAACUUGCUCAUGGACAAGUGAUUGUUGAGCAAGUUGAGAAUGGAAGUUCUCCGAGACGUUAGUCCUUCCUUUAGUUGACUUGUAUAGGUGGAUCGGAUGAAACAAUUUUCAGUGCAAAGAUCUGUUGAACAAGUAAGGGUAAGAUUCGCUUGGCAUAAUUCUUUCUGGGAAGUCUGUGCCCAUUAAGAAAUUCUUUGUGUUUCCAUAUUCAGUGCUUUUAUGUGUGUGUCCCCUUUCAUAAACUCUUCUAGAGAUAGCAAAAGACGGAUGUGAGAUAGGUCAUUGGAAAUUCUCGAACAUCACAUGGUAUUUAAGUAUUUUUUGGUAAGUUUUACCAGUGAAACGAAAAUAGCGGCAUGCAAGGUGAAUUGAAUUCCUAUUUCUGAAGUGUACAGCAGCUUAAAUCAGAGGCCAAGCUUAUUGUAUCUGUAAAUUCAAGGAAAAUAUUUUGUCAUCCACAAGUGUCUAUAUGCUGAAGAAAGGUUGGAAACUUUGAAGGGAGUGGUCAGCAAUGACGUUUAUAAAUUUUUGGUGACUUCUUGAGACGCAUUCUAAACAAAUUUUUUGCACCCCUUAAAACUUGAAACCACUUGCUCAUGACCCUUUUCAGGCACCACGUUGUCUUGAAAAAAACAGUUUGAAGUAUUCCUGACAAAGAACGUGUCAAAAAGGAGCUUAUUCUUACCUGCUGACAUAUGCGAUCAUUCUGUAACUGCCCUUUUUGUCUGAAUUCUCUUGAAGUACACGUGGUUCUGCGAUAAUGCACGGAUUAACCACUUGCUACUGAAUCGUGGCAAAAGAUGGUGGGGGGAUCUCUUGGAUGAUUUGGAAAAUCCCUCAAGAAGUGCUUCACGACAUAGGGUAAUUUCCUAAAGGCCAAAGAGUUCUUCCUGCUGUCUUUGACAUAUAGGAAGAGUAACAUAAAUUUGACGAAAACGGCUUAAAAGUAAUGGACAUUGAUGGGUUCUUGCAAUCAAGAACCUAUGGAAAAGCACUCGAGAACACACAAAGACAAGUUCUCUGAAUUAUACAGCCUCCUUUUAUUCAAAAGAAUCAACAAGAAUGGUGUUACAACCUAACCCGAGAGCUUAACCUCUCUCCAAAGAACUACAAGAGUUCCCGCAAACAAUAAUACUCCAAAACUAAUCCCAGCCAACCACUAAUCCCCCCUUUUAUAUCACUUACUAACAGUCCUAACAGAAAACUAUCCCUAACUGCCUUGGCAGUUAGGCUCUGUGACUUUACCCCUCCUCCUAUAUAUAAUUAACUUCCUAAAAUUACUCCCCUCUCCUCCAACAACCUUGUUCCCAAGGUUGAACUCCGGGUAUUGCUCUUGUAUAGUCACCUCAUCUUCCCAUGUGGCACUCUCUUGUCCCCCUUCUUGCCAUUCUAUCAAGACUUGGAGUAUUUCCUCUGUUCCCAGUUGUCGAGUUCUCCUGUCCAGCACCUUGGCUGG